UAGGGAAUCUUCGGCAAUGGACGGAAGUCUGACCGAGCAACGCCGCGUGAGUGAAGAAGGUCUUCGGAUCGUAAAGCUCCGUUGUUAGAGAAGAACGUUGGUAGGAGUGGAAAAUCUACCAAGUGACGGUAACUAACCAGAAAGGGACGGCCAACUACGUGCCAGCAACCGCGGCAAUACGUAGGGUCCGAGCGUUUUCCGGACUUAUUGGGCGUAAAGCGAGCGCAGGCGGUUCUUUAAGUCUGAAGUUAAAGGCAGUGGCUUAACCAUUGUACGCUUUGGAAUCUGAAGGACUUGGGAGCAGAAGGGGAGAGUGGAAUUCCAUGUGUAGCGGUGAAAUGCGUAGAUAUGUGGGGGACCACCGGUGGCGAAGGCGGCUCUCUGGUCUGUAACUGCCGCUGAGGCUCGAAAGCGUGGGGAGCAAACAGG
rnacentral:rRNA from 1 species